rnacentral:lncRNA from 1 species
GAAACAGGAAUCUUGAACCUCAGAACAGUGUUCUGUCAUCACAUAUGAUGGAAGAAUAUUAUCAAAGUAAUCGAAUAGUAGACAAAGGGAUUUAGAACACUUACAGCUGCAUUCGGCUCUCCAGAUGAAGUUCAUGACAGCUUGAAGGAACAAAAAAGCAGCAGGCUCAGCUGCCAGCAUAGCAGAAUCAUCUUGGACGGAAAAGGCCUCUUGAGCCCACCUAGUCCAACCCUCCUGCUCAAGAAG